CGAGAAACUUAAGGGCAAAACAAAAAGGAUCUCGUUGAUAAAGCGUAAAAGUUAUUUUGCACUUUUGUGUCAUGUGGGACUAUAAGGAUGACGCAGGAAGAAGACAAAGCUGUCAAAAGUUGAUUGGCGAAGGAAGUUGACGGAAAAUUACGCGCGAGAAGCCAAACGCAUAUUCAGCUUUGGGAUUGUGGAUAUUGGAUUUCGUCUGUUGUCCAGGGACAGCCUUUUAAGGAUACUUGAACACACUUCUCUCUCAAUAGUGGAAUAUAACUUUUGUCUGGGAUUACUGGAAUAUAUAUCAUAAAAAGAAGUCCGACCAUAAUCUACAAAUUUAAGGCCAGCGGUGACAUUUGGUGCAGUGAAGGGGCUUCUCAUGAAGUUAUUCUUUGGGCCGUAAUCUCGCCGGGUGUCCGUUUUCAGCGGCGCGGCAUAUGCCAGACAAAGCCUCUCUUUCAGACACGCAGGUCUGACCCCGGGACCGAUCGCAGAUCUGCUCUGGGCUCUUUCUCUCCUCCUCUUCCUCACACUGCUGCAAACAGUGGAGACACUGUGUGGAAAUUACAGCACAAAGAUGACAUUACACCGCUAUCAAACUCUACAGGCCCUCUGAUGAACUAACACACAAGUGUGAAGGGAUGAACGAGGACGUGAACGUUCUGCUGCCACAUUUAAGUGCCUGAUUGGACGGCCUGCUGCAGUGUUAAGAAAAGAAACAGGAUGAUUUGCUUGACUCUCCCUCCCGCUCCUUCUGUGCCUCUCAUCCUCUCGCUAAUUUUGUGCCGUCUGACCUCUGAACAUCUGAACAUAAAUGCUGCCGCAUGGUGGCAGGGUCACAGGUCAUCAUUGAUUGGCCACUCAGCAGGAAGCCACUUUGACAUUUGAACGCUGAAACUGCUUUUUGGCGCCUGGCUCAGUAAGAACAUUCAUCACUGGUGGGCAGGACACAGCGAGACACAGUAAACGGCCAAAGUUCACGCCAAAAGGAAUGCUGAACUCCUCGAGAGAAGCCAAAGAAACCCAGCAUCAGCAAAGAGGAGCCGAAGGAGUCUCAUCUCCUCUCUGCUCCUGUCCAACCCUCGAGGCUCAUAAACAAUAGGCCUCUCCACACAGGAAGUCUUCGCACCAGCCAGGGCCGAAUCCAAGCAACUCUAUUAUCAUUCCAGUUGCCACAGGGCGUUGAGCCAUGGCGAACUCCGACCCCUGGCCUUAUUUUCAAAGGUGAUCUUUGAUCCCUAUUGUGGCUCAGCGAUCCGCUCUGAAUCAAGACGUGGAGAGAGGGGAGCAGGUGAAUCGCUCUAUCUCUGCUGUUGUUUUUGAUGUUGAACAUGGUCUGAGGCGAUUUCUCAGCGUGUGCAGAGAGCAGGCAAAAUGCAGGGAUGGAAGUCAAGAUGUUUGGCUUAAGUUUGCGAUUUAGUUGUUGUUCGUUACGUCUUGAUGUUCAAAUUGUUUAUUCAAAUUGUUUAUUAAAAAACUACUUUGUUUUUGUCUUGUAUCGAUUAAAAUGUCAACAAUAAGGUUCAACAUCUCAAACAUGACUAUCUUUCUAAACUUUUGUUUUACAAACAGCCCUUUGUCUAAACCUGACUAAUCUCAUGAGAAUUUGUCUGUAUUUUACGAGUUAGCUAAUUCGUUAAAGUAAAUCGUACAAAAACAUAUGAUUAUCAUAAAAACUCCAAAAACAAAAACCCACUCCUAACCCCAAUGUCACAGGGGCAAGGGCAAAUCAUAAAAGGGAAAUGCAGGGAUGGAAGUCAAGAUGUUUGGCUUAAGAUGUUGAAAAAAGUCUACAGUACAGUUUGCAAUUUAGUUGUUGUUUGUUGUGUCUUGAUGUUCAACUUGUUUAUUCAAAUGUUUUUUUUUAAAGUCUACUUUGUUUUGGUCUUGUAUCAAUUAAGAUGUAAACGAUAAGGUUUAGCAUUUAAAACAUGACUAUCUUUUGAAACUUUAGUUUUACAAACAAGACUUCUCAUGAGAAUUUUUACGUAUUUUACGAGUUGGCUAAUUUGUUCAUAGUAAAUCUCCAAAAACGAAAACCUAAUCCUAACCCCAAUGUCACAGGGGCAAAGGCAAAUCAUACAAGUGAAAUGCAGGGAUGGAAGUCAAGACGUUUGUCGUUUAGUUGUUGUUUGUUGCAUCUUGAUGAAAGAAUUGUUUAUUCAAAUGAGUUGUUUAAAGUAUACUUUGUUUUUGUCUUGUAUCAAUUAAGAUGUCAACGAUAAGGUUUGGAAUCUAAAAAAUUACUAUCUUUCGAAACUUUUGUUUUACAAACAGGACUUCUCAUGAAGAUUCGUACGUAUUUUACGAGUUGGCUAAUUCGUAUGAGUUCGUACAAGUGAAUCGUACAAAAACAUUUUAUUAUCAUAAAAAAACACUAACAAAAUCCCACCCCUAACGUCCAACAUGAUCUCAUAGAAAUUCGUGUUGUAGUCACAAAAAAUAGAUUCAUUUAUUCGUGUUCAUGGCAUGUAAUUUAGCUUUUUUCGUGCCUUGAGCACGAAUGUCUAUUUCAGGUCAUUUUAGCACAAAUUUAUAAAAUCGUUUUUUGUGUCCGUGGCAGGACUUUCUUUUUCGUGUCAUUUUAUUUAUUGUUUUUUUUCUUCCUAUUUUCAUUGUCGCUUGGGGUUAGAUUUGGUGUUUGGGUUAGGAUGUACUUUUAUGUAUUGGUUUCUACAUGUUUUUCUUCCACUUUUAAAACUAUUCUCGUCCGGAGUUGGGUUUAGAGUUGGGGUUUAGGGGUGUCACGAUUCUCCAAAUCCUCGAUACGGAUACAUUUUCGCUUCUAAGGUCAGGAUUUGAUUCAAUUGUCGAUUUCUAAAAAAUUUUUGAAAGCACUAAUCAAAUUCUAUGCCAUUUUAGACCUUGAACUCGAGGAUGCCCUUCCAUGUUAGUCGUGCUGCCAGUGGAAAAAUAUGGUACACGCACAUACCUGAUAAAACGAAACUUCCUGUCAGAUGAACAUUCCUGUCAGUACUUUGCACCUUAAAACACGCUUUUAUUACCGUCAGACAAGAUUAGACUAUAUUGAGACUAUACCCCAACAAGUCGUGUUUAAAAGCUGUUUUCAUAAUUCUUAAGCAACUGAAAUAAGUUGUUGUGAAACUUAAACUGAUCUCAGUUCAGAGAAACGACUUAGCUGAAGACGAGAGGCGCGUGCUGUUUCUUGUUUCCCAUUUAAAGCGCAGCUCGCGUGGUUUCUCCUGCAUCUGCCAUGCUAUCUUUUGACUGGCUGUAGUUAGCUAAGUUAGAGGAGGUUGACUCACAGCACUCAACACAUGUUUUUUUACCACUUGGGAAGCCGACCAGAAGUGACAUGGGGGCGUGGCAGCAUCCACGAUUCUAUUUUUUAAUUGGAAGUUCAAGGUUGUGACUUAAUUUUGAUCGAUUUCGCUUUAAAUAGAAAUCGUGACACCCUUAGUUGGGAUGUCUAAAAAUGUAACAGAAAGUGAUUCUAACCCAAACCCCAAGCGACAACGGUAAGAAAAUAGGAACAAACAAGAAGAAAACAAUACAUAAAAUGACAUGAAAAAGAAAGUCGUGCCACGGACACGAAAAAGACAUUCGUGCUCAAGCAUGAAUAAAAUAAUACAUUUUUACUUGACUAUAUCAUGCCCUGCUGUGUGAUCAGUGUGUUAAAGGUCACGUUCUUCCUGAUCCCAUUUUUUAAACCCUAGUUAGUGUGUAAUGUUGCUGUAAUAGCAUAAAUAAUACCUGUAAAAUGAUAAAAUUCAAAGUUCACUGCCAGGCGAUAUAUUUUCUUUAAUAGAAUUCCACUUUCAAAGCCUACAAUGAACAGCCGGUUUUGACUACAGCCCUCUAUUUCCUGCUUUAAUGAUGUCAGUAAAAUGGUUCGUUGACUAAACUCCGCCCACAGGAAUAUGUCAGCCACCAGCUUUGGCUCAAACGGCUCUGCUAAGCUAAGCUGCUGUCGAAUCACAACACACUAAACAAACUACACAAUCCAAACUCAUUACGUAUUUCUGAAGGAGGGACUUCAUAGAACAAGGAAGACAUCAGCCUGUUUUUAGGACAGUGAAAACAGCGCUAUACAGAUAAGUCAAUUGUGUGAAAAAUACAGCUUUUUUACACGCGAAACAUGAACACAUGUUAUAUUGCCCACUAUAAACACAAUCAAAGCUUCAAAAUCACAGAAAGAACGGGAGCUUUAACGUUACAGGAGCAAUGGCAAAUCAUACAAAAAUGUAAGAAUGUGGUUGUAUAAAUUAAUCCAAAUUAGCACCUCGUAAAAUAUGUACGAACUGCCAUGAGAUAGCAUUGGCUAAACAUAAACAUGAUCUUUUUGGGCUGAAGUACCUCGCAUCCACCAAUUAUCAAUAAAAUAAACAGUACUUCAACAACUUGUUUAUUUAAUUCUCUACAUUACCGUUUUUGCUGCCUCACAUCUUUGAGUUUUUUUUCCUCUCACUCUGUCUGUGUAUUACUGUGUAUAAAAUCAAUUUGGGCUUGGGGCUGAUCUGCCUCACAAACUCCUUUGAUUUGGUUCCCACCACCGCCUAGCAGAGGACUACAGGCAGCCUUAAGUUCUUUAAGGGAUUUGUACUCUCCCUAGCUUUAGCUCACCAACACCAACACCGGCUCUAUCUGCCGCCCUCCGUGGGGCUCCUGAACAAUGCUAAAAGAAUCACUAACUUCAGUUAGAUUCUGUUGGAAUACCGUCAAAGAAAAACAGGCUUUCGUUGCAGACCUACCUGCAGGGCAAAUGGCCUUCAAAGGCUGUGAUCAAAAACUGUUUAUUGUAAAAUGAUGCAUAAACAUAAAGAAAGUUCAGGAAUUCAGUUAAGCACUUAACUUUCCAUUCAAAGACAACCUUGUAAACUUGAAUCGAGGUUCAUUUUAAGGGAUAGUUCACCCAAAAAUAAAAGGGAGAUAUUUUGAAUCCAAUCACGAGCCCCAUUCACUUCCAUAUUAUUUUUCCUACUAUGGAAGUGAAUGGGGCUCAUGAUUGGUUUGGUUACAAACAUUCCCCAAAUUAUCUCCCUUUGUAGUAUAAAAAAAAUAUUUAUACUAGUUGAAACAACAUGAAAUUGAAAAAAUUAUGAAUUUAUUUUUAUUUUUGGGUGAACUAUCCCUUUAAGCCUAAAUUAAUGUCAACUGAGACUUUGAAACCAUUAAGCUACUGUAGAUCUUUGAUCUUUUUUUUUUGAAAAGGUUUUUAUGUGUUUUUGUUAAAUUGUGAGUGAGUCUUUCAGUUCCCCUUUAAGAAACAGACACACACUUUCACUCCAUCUGUUAUUUUUUAUUUUGGGGAAAGACAGAAAAGAGAAAAUGAUUGAUUCCCUUUCACCAGACCCCAGCUCAUCUCGUGUUAAACAGCGCCCCCUGUGAACAGUCACGGGCACUGCAGGUUUGAUUCAUACUCGUGCUUGCAUGCAAGCAUGUCUGGAGUUCAUUUAGGUGGAACAGGGUUAGUUAGCUCGCUUGGGCUUCAAAGAAACGUUUCCUCGUGAUUGAGGUCGACUGUAAUGAUGUUUUAUGAACAUGCAAGAGGGAAACUCCAGAGAAGAAAUGUUUUAGCACCUCUCGCUUUGAACCUUCGGCUGUUUCUGCUCGUUCGCUCGACCUGUUUUAUCGCCUCGUAAAAAUGCAGGCGUGUUAGCGAAGUUAAGGUUUCCCCUUUUAAAUUAAAGUCAAAGUUAAAUUCACAUUUACCUGUUUAAUUGCUGCUACUUGGGUGUCAUUAACACAGAACAAAUGCAUUCUGGGGUCAUUUGGCAAAACGGUGCUAUUUGUGUCUCUCAUGGACAUGUGUAAAAAUAAAUGAACUUAUAAAAAAUAUGUGUUGUGCUAUACA